AUGAACUCGUGGGACGCGGGCCUGGCGGGGCUGCUGGUGGGCACGAUGGGCGUCUCGCUGCUGUCCAACGCGCUGGUGCUGCUCUGCCUGCUGCAUAGCGCCGACAUCCGCCGGCAGGCGCCGGCGCUCUUCACCCUGAACCUCACGUGCGGCAACCUGCUGUGCACCGUGGUCAACAUGCCGCUCACGCUGGCCGGCGUCGUGGCCCAGCGGCCGCCGGCCGGGGACCGCCUGUGCCGCCUGGCCGCCUUCCUCGACACCUUCCUGGCCGCCAACUCCAUGCUCAGCAUGGCCGCGCUCAGCAUCGACCGCUGGGUGGCCGUGGUCUUCCCGCUGAGCUACCGCGCCAAGAUGCGCCUCCGCGACGCCGCGCUCAUGGUGGCCUACACGUGGCUGCACGCGCUCACCUUCCCGGCCGCCGCGCUCGCCCUGUCCUGGCUCGGCUUCCACCAGCUCUACGCGUCCUGCACGCUCUGCAGCCGGCGGCCCGACGAGCGCCUGCGCUUCGCCGUCUUCACGGGCGUCUUCCACGCGCUCAGCUUCCUGCUCUCCUUCGUCGUGCUCUGCUGCACAUAUUGCAAGGUGCUCAAGGUGGCCCGCUUCCACUGCAAGCGCAUCGACGUGAUCACCAUGCAGACGCUGGUGCUGCUGGUGGACAUCCACCCCAGUGUGCGGGAACGCUGUCUGGAGGAGCAGAAGAGGCGGCGGCAGCGAGCCAGCAGGAAGAUCAGCACCUUCAUAGGCACUUUCCUCGUAUGCUUUGCGCCCUACGUGAUCACCAGGCUGGUGGAGCUGUCUUCUGCAGUACCCAUCAGCGCCCACUGGGGGGUGCUGUCCAAGUGCUUGGCCUACAGCAAGGCCGCGUCCGACCCCUUCGUGUACUCCUUACUGCGACACCAGUACCGCAAGAGCUGCAAGGAGAUCCUGAACAGGGUCCUCCACCGGCGAUCGCUCCGCUCCUCCGGCCUCACCCGGGACUCCCACAGCCAGAACAUUCUGCCGGUCUCCGAGUGAAGCACGUUGCUCCGCUGGAGAGCUUGGAAGGAGGCGGCUGGUGAGAAGAAGGGAAGGGCGGGGCUCGGGUCGCCUGGGUGGACACGGCCAGCCGCCGCCACCUCCAAGCCUAGGGAUGCUGGACCCUUGGCUUGGGGCGGCUCUGAAGCCUGGUUCCUGGUGCCUGCAGGGCAGACGUUGAACUGCCCGUUUAUCACCAAAGGAUGACCAAGGCACGUGCUGUGUGCUCUCGCUUUUCUUUCUGAGAAGCUCCUUUGAGCUCCGAGACUCAGCAGAGACUCCCCAGGAGUCGCUCCCAGUGCGGUCAUGAUCAAGGACACACAGUGCUGGUGGAAGGUGGGGAAGCAUGGUGUCCACCUGCUUGCUAACCCUGGGACCGUUGGGCUUCAUGCUGAAAAGUGGUGACCUCCGUGGGGCAUCAGUCACCCCGAGAGCGAGGUUGGCAGUGGCCGUUUGCCCCACGUCUAGCAUGGCCACAUGCAGUGGUGGCUGCUUUAAUCCAAAUAUUAUUCAGCUGGUACUAACUCAUUAUGCUCAGCUGGGACCUUGGCCCCCAAGCCCAAGGGGAAAAUGUUUAACAGCCAGUGUUACCCAACUGUGGCUGACAAGCUGCGUUAGACAUGGUUAUAUUGGAUUCAACUUUUCUCUCUUUCUUCCCUCCCCCUGCCCCAAAGCUAACGUGUGUGUGUGUAGACAACCUUAGCAUGAAAAUGGUUUUCAAUAGGCAGGUACUGCAUAUAAUAAUGUUCUUUGAAGUCUGACCCGAAGUCAUCUUCUUCUGAUUCACAUGUCAUAACUAUUGGAGCCAAGAAGAUGGAGGAACGUGCCUGGCAGGUCCCCAAACCCUGGUCUGUGACUUGAAUUCGCAGGAAGCAUUUCACCUUGUCUCACAUGUCUUGUCCAGCAUGUUCUUUGAGAUACUCUUUGGGCAGCGGAGGAGUAGUGACCCAGUGGCUGAGGUCAAUAGUCAGAUUCAAACAAUCAAGUAAGUUUUCGUCAAUGUCAGGUUGGAGGAAUAACUGUCAACUUCUCUUCCUGCUUGCUCUGUGCAAGCAACAAAUUAUACUCCCAGAAGCAACUUGAUCCCUUUCACCUCUUCUUUAGCUAAAAAAUAAGAUCUGUCACCUAUAAUGUCACAUAUCUUGAGAAGAGGCAUUUUGUAAUUUAUACUAAACCUUAGGACUGCCAAUAAACCAACAGAACCAGUUGUUUUGGCAUCAUGGUGACAGUCCCCCAAAUAUGCCAGCUGAUUGGGUAUUUUCAUUAUUAUUAGGACACAGGUAUCAAAACCCAAGGAGAAGUGAGAAGAAAAUCACUUCAUUAGUGAUCAACACCCACCAACUCUGCUAGGAUUACUUUUAGAUAAAUGUUUAUAUUCAUCUAUAUACAGUCUAUAAAAUUUCCCCGGCUUCAUUAUUCCCAAGAGAAUUAUCUACCUCAUUUGGUAAUUUAUCAAAUGUCACAUGGAUUUCUCAGGUAAAACACUUAGGAAGGUCCAGAUCAGCAUCUCUGUCAAGGGCCUGGGAUGACUUCCUUGACAGCAGCCCAGCGGAUGGCUUGAUGUUGAAGGCCUGAGUGCUGUUGGAGAGCUGGGCUCGGUGUGAAAGCGUUUUAAGAAGCCGGAGAACAGAGCCUAGAAUGGAGAGGAUCUCAGAUCCUAAACCCACACUACAGGGCUCAGUUCCUAGCCCACCGUGCUCUGAACUUGUAGGUUUAAACUCCACCCACGAUGACUUUCUCAGUCACUCUGCGACUCCAGCUUUUCUUUAUGCUGCUUCUUGAAGGAGGGGAUUUCAGAGCCCUGGGACCCGCUGAGGGGUGAGGGUCAUGGCUUUGGGGGUUUCUGUGUCUUAUGGUCAGCCGACCCCCCAAAGAUGUUUCCCUGAGAGCCUGCCUGCUUUUCCGGAGACGUCACGGCGGCGGGGGAGGAGGGGAAGUUGCUUUGACUCUUCUCACACCAACUGGACCUUCCUUCUAGGACUCAGCUUAGCCUUCUGUCACCGUGAGCAAUAAACCUCUGUCCUCAUGUUUGUGAAA